rnacentral:lncRNA from 1 species
CGAUAGUAGAGGGGCAUUAUGUUUUCUGGUCUUUUCGUCCGUCUGUCUGUCUGUCCGUUCGUUCGUUCGUCCGUCUGUCCCGCUUCAGGUUAAAGUUUUUGGUCAAGGUAGUUUUUGAUGAAGUUGAAGUCCAAUCAACUUGAAACUUAGUACACAUGUUCCUUAUGAUAUGAUCUUUCUAAUUUUAAAGCCAAAUUAAACUUUGACCCCAAUUUCACGGUCCACUGAACAUAGAAAAUUAAAGUGCAUGUUUCAGGUUAAAGUUUUUGGUCAAGGUAGUUUUUGAUGAAGUUGAAGUCCAAUCAACUUGAAACUUAGUACACAUGUUCCCUAUGAUAUUAUCUUUCUAAUUUUAAUGCCUAAUUAUAUUUUUAAUCCAAUUUCACGGUCCAUUGAACAUGGAAAAUGAUAGUGCGAGUGGGGCAUUCGUGUACUUUGGACACAUUCUUGUUUAAU